CAGUGAGCUGCACCUUGAUGGCAAUUGCUUACAGUGCUCCGGGGCUCUGGCUCUCCUCAGACCCGCAGCAGAGUAUGCAGAGAAGCAGGGCAGAGACCAGCCGGCCACAUCCCCACCAGACCUCGGGAGUCCCCCUCAGCAGCUGCAGGUCAAACAGAGGGGAAGUUCAACUUUGAACCAGACUACAAAGUCGCCUGGAGCUCUUCCAGGGAAAACCCCUGCAGGGAAGGAGCGGAGGAAAAAAGGAAUCAAGAAAAAAAUCAAAGAUUUGACUGAAGCAGGCCCAUGGUUAGUGAAAUUGUAUUUGGCAGAUAAUGGCAUAGACGGAAAAGGUAAAGAAGGAGAAAAUGGCUUAUUGGAAUUCACUCAAAUUUUAACAUGGUGAGUAGAAA
rnacentral:lncRNA from 1 species